AUACGGAGGAUCCGAGCGUUAUCCGGAUUUAUUGGGUUUAAAGGGUGCGUAGGUGGUUUGAUAAGUCAGCGGUGAAAGUUUGCAGCUUAACUGUAAAAAUGCCGUUGAAACUGUCGGACUUGAGUGUAAAUGAGGUAGGCGGAAUGCGUGGUGUAGCGGUGAAAUGCUUAGAAAUCACGCAGAACUCCGAUUGCGAAGGCAGCUUACCAAGCUACAACUGACACUGAAGCACGAAAGCGGUGGGGAUC
rnacentral:rRNA from 1 species